rnacentral:rRNA from 1 species
GACGAACGCUGGCGGCGUGCCUAAUACAUGCAAGUAGAACGCUGAAGGAGGAGCUUGCUUCUCCGGAUGAGUUGCGAACGGGUGAGUAACGCGUAGGUAACCUGCCUGGUAGCGGGGGAUAACUAUUGGAAACGAUAGCUAAUACCGCAUAAGAGUAGAUGUCGCAUGACAUUUGCUUAAAAGGUGCAACUGCACCACUACCAGAUGGACCUGCGUUGUAUUAGCUAGUUGGUGAGGUAACGGCUCACCAAGGCAACGAUACAUAGCCGACCUGAGAGGGUGAUCGGCCACACUGGGACUGAGACACGGCCCAGACUCCUACGGGAGGCAGCAGUAGGGAAUCUUCGGCAAUGGACGGAAGUCUGACCGGGCAACGCCGCGUGAGUGAAGAAGGGUUUCGGAUCGUAAAGCUCUGUUGUAAGAGAAGAACGAGUGUGAGAGUGGAAAGUUCACACUGUGACGGUAUCUUACCAGAAAGGGACGGCUAACUACGUG